CAGUAUUUGAUGGGUCUGAAUGAAAAUCUGAUGAAACAGAUGUUACUUGAAGCUGAGUGACUUUCUCAGGGUCAAGCAAAUAAGUAAAUGGAGGAGCCAGAAUUAUACCCCAGGAUCCCCAUCACAAGGAGGGGAGGGCUACCAUCCCAGCUGCAAACUCUCAUUCAAGGUUUAUGCUGCAGCCAGCAGUGUCCUUGGAGUCUAGUUCAAAGCUGAAGAGAGUGAACCAUGGAACUGGGAGCCAUUGGCGGAGAGGCUGGCCUGAAGGAAGGGAAGUGUUUCAGCCAGAAUGUACUGACGCACAACCAGGAAACCACAAGACUGGUGAGAACCUUUCCAAAACUGAGCUUUAUGAUCAAAAGAGGUACAGGAAACAGCUCUGCCAAGAGUCCUUUCUGCUCCUGGCUGGAACCCUGAGCUUCUGAGGCUCUCUGAGUCAACUCUCUGAACAGAUGCUGUCACCCAAGGAACCAUCACUAAAGCAUUUUUUUGCUUUGCUCUGAGGUGGCCUCACUGGUGGGUGCAAGUGAGUUACUGUCUCUUUUUCUCUUUCUUGUUUCUUUCUUUUGACAGAAGUUGCCAUGUGAUUACUCAAUUCUGAAUUUUAGAGGCCAUAGGUUACUGCAUUUAUGCCCUUUGCCAACUGACUAUUGUUUGGUGCUGGGCCUGCAUACAAACACGACAUCCCCAAACUCUUAUCAAUACCUAGAUCACCUGAUGUGAAUCUAUCAAUACCCUGGACUUAACAGGGUAUUGAAGGAAAGAGAACCGGCAAUUCCUUCAUUUCUUACAUCCCAGCCAGUAGUCCUUCUCCCAGGCUAGUCUUCCUUUUGUUUCCCCUAAGAAUGACUCAACUAGGAAUUGCAUUCUGAUCCCUGUCACAGAUAUAAAUCUUGUCUGGAUACAAGGUCAAAAUAAUUGUGUUCCUGUGGAUUCUUUUUCUUUUUUCAACCAGAGUAACUACCAGUUGCCAUGAAAUAAAUCACAUCAUCAUAUGGCAGAUCCAGCUAAUAGCUGAGACUGGCAGGAUAACUGAACCGUGUACUCAGAGCUAAAUGAUGGAGAAAUUGGACUGGCCAUGGAGCACUUCAAAUUGAUUGCUUAGUAAUGGGAUAUUUUUCCUGGAAAGACAACAGAAUACUUCUGAAUUGUUGGUUCUGUCAUGGGUACAGGCUCCCAUGUACAGGAAAAUAAAGAAAGUGUGAUGAAUUUUUCAUCUGGCCUUCUGCCUACUUUCUUGCUUUCUGCAUGUCUCCAUUUUUAGUCUGUAAGCCCUGCCUAGAUGACCAAUCACUAUUGCCCAUGUGGCAUAAAACCUACAAUUUAACUAUACUUCUUACCAAACUCUCAGCAAGUAUGAGGUAGCCAACAGCCUUUUCAAGAUAAUGACUGAGUCUUAGCUUAGGUUUCAGUCAUUUUAGGAAACAUAAAAAAUUCAAUGGUGGGAGAUCAUACACACUCUGCAAAGAUGUCAGAAGUCAAGUUUUGGGAGAGUCCACACACAAACUGAGCAGUGAUGGUAAAAUAUAUUUUUGAAAUAUUUCUCCUCUGUGACUGUUAUGUGAAGUAGAGCAAACACAUUGUGCUGCAGUGCUCUUUGGGACAUGCCUUUUUUGGGAAGUGCUAACUUUAUACUCUGCUGACACCAAACAUUUGAAUAUAAAACCUUAUUUUUUUCUCUCACUCUGCUCCACUUUUGGCUCAGCUUAUUCUACCAAAACACACUUCAAAAGACUUCUUUAUAGAAAGAAUGUUUCAAAAAUAUAAUAUUUCCAUCUGUUAUUUCAAUAAUACAUGCUCUGGGACUCUCUUUAUGAACCACUUUCCUUUCUUUGCUCCCAUUUAGAUGUAUAAAUAUUUGAUUGUAAAGCUCUAAGGAAUAGUCAGCCAAUCGGGUCACUGAAUUGUGAACAUUCCUAACCCUAUAAUUUUGUCUGUAGCAGGCACCUCCUGCUGUGGAACUAACUGCUAAGGGAUUAUAGCAAUGUAAUCCUCAGACUGUUCCAUCUCAAGGUUACUCUGAAGUGGAGGGAAGGAAGCCGUUUUAAUUUUGAUAAAAUAAACUUUAUUUUGUAACUUUA
rnacentral:lncRNA from 1 species